CAAUAGCGUAUAUUAAAGUUGUUGCAGUUAAAAAGCUCGUAGUUGGAUUUCUGGUCGGAAGCUCCUGUCCUCUGAUGAGCGUACAAGUGCGUCCUACCAUCCUUCUGUUAACCUUUAAGGCUUUCGCGGCUUUCUAGGGGCUCAGAUAUUUUACCUUGAGAAAAUUAGAGUGUUUCAGGCAGGCUAGCGCCGGAAUACAUUAGCAUGGAAUAAUGGAAUAGGACUUUUGCCUCUUCUGUUGGUCAUGAGGCUCGAGUAAUGAUUAAUAGGGAUAGUUGGGGGCAUUAGUACUUAACUGUCAGAGGUGAAAUUCUCGGAUUUGUUAAAGACUAACUUAUGCGAAANCANNNGCGAAGGAUGUUUNCAUNAA
rnacentral:rRNA from 1 species